rnacentral:rRNA from 1 species
GACAGAGGAUGCAAGCGUUAUCCGGAAUGAUUGGGCGUAAAGCGUCUGUAGGUGGCUUUUCAAGUCCGCCGUCAAAUCCCAGGGCUCAACCCUGGACAGGCGGUGGAAACUGCCAAGCUGGAGUACGGUAGGGGCAGAGGGAAUUUCCGGUGGAGCGGUGAAAUGCGUAGAGAUCGGAAAGAACACCAACGGCGAAGGCAGCGUUCUGGGAAGUAUCUGACGCUCAGGUGCGAAAGCCAGGGGAGCGAACGGG